UACAGAGGUCUCAAGCGUUGUUCGGAUUCAUUGGGCGUAAAGGGUGCGUAGGCGGCGCGGUAAGUCGGGUGUGAAAUCUCGGGGCUUAACUCCGAAACUGCAUUCGAUACUGCCGUGCUUGAGGACUGGAGAGGAGACUGGAAUUCACGGUGUAGCAGUGAAAUGCGUAGAUAUCGUGAGGAAGACCAGUGGCGAAGGCGGGUCUCUGGACAGUUCCUGACGCUGAGGCGACGAAGGCCAGGGGAGCAAACGGG
rnacentral:rRNA from 1 species